CUCAGGCUCCCACAAAGCUUUGCUCCUGACCGUACAACCAGAUUUCGGGCUUUUUUUUAACGUUUCGGCGCCAUUUUCGAUUGGUCAGGAGAGAUUUCCAUUGUGACGGUUUCAUAAAAAAAGCGGUGUUUCCUGGCAGCAGAAGGAUCUGGUUGAAUGGAGCAGCAUUGAUUCAGACAGCUCUUAGACCAUCUGUGCACCAUGUGACAUGAUAUUACCUCCAUGACUGUGUGUGAGUGAGAGUGAGUCCAUGACGUAUUUUAAGAGAAGGCUUCCUUAUCCUCUUCUUACCUGGCCACCUUGACCAUUUUUGGAUUGUACUGCUUGAGGAGUUCUAACAAGGUCUGCAUUGUUUUCCCAGUAUCAAUUAUAUCCUGUAGAACAAAAAUUGCAUUAACGACAAAUACCACAAAUGUGAUGAGACAUCGUAGGGUAUUUAAUGUACCAUAAAUUCACUCGUACCUCCACAAUCAAGACAUUCUUCAGUGACGCAUAGAAAGAGGAAAAAAAGUCAGUAUUAAAUCGUUUUCUACACAUAGCGGAGUUCAAACAUUUCCUGCACCAACAACUCAAUUUCUCCAUUUUCACUUGUAAUUUUUUUUUUUUUUUUGUAAAUCUCUUGCUUUUGC